rnacentral:rRNA from 1 species
AGCGAACGCUGGCGGCAGGCCUAACACAUGCAAGUCGAACGAACCCUUCGGGGUUAGUGGCGGACGGGUGAGUAACACGUGGGAACGUACCUUUAGGUUCGGAACAACACAGGGAAACUUGUGCUAAUGCCGAAUGUGCCCUUCGGGGAAAGAUUAUCGCCUUUAGAGCGGCCCGCGUCUGAUUAGCUUGUUGGUGAGGUAAAGGCUCACCAAGGCUUCGAUCAGUAGCUGGUCUGAGAGGAUGAUCAGCCACACUGGGACUGAGACACGGCCCAGACUCCUACGGGAGGCAGCAGUGGGGAAUCUUGCGCAAUGGGCGAAAGCCUGACGCAGCCAUGCCGCGUGAAUGAUGAAGGUCUUAGGAUUGUAAAAUUCUUUCACCGGGGAAGAUAAUGACGGUACCCGGAGAAGAAGCCCGGCUAACUCGUG